AAGAGAAAUCGGAGAAGCGGUGCUACUGUGCUUCUUCUUCACUGAGCUUGGCUUCAACUCGCCUAAGUUUCAAGCGAGCUUACUCAAAACAGUCCCCCUCUCCACGUCACCUCUAUUUUCCAAUAGAUUUGUCAGAGAGGAGUACGAUUGUUCCCUCAAAAUUGUGGAUUUUUGUACAAAAGGAUAAUUGUUGGACGAAUGGGAGCUAUAGAUAGAUGUGAAUCAAUCCACGCCCUCCAUUUGUCCCAAAAUUGUUCAAAAACAUGAGGGAUUUUCGGAUUUGGGCAGAUUUUUGAAGAUUUUUGAAAGCUAUAUAUAUGAAGUAAGUUCUAUGUGCUAAGGAAAGAAGAAGAAAAAAUCAGAAAAAAAUCGGAUAAAACUUCAGAAAACAUAGUCGAAAUUUCUAGGGUUUUUAGUUGUCACUUCUUCAGACUUUCUUCUUCCUUUUUUUUUCCAGAAAACAUACAAAAAAAUAAAAAUAAAGAGUACAAUGGUUUGAGUCCAAUCUCUUCAGUCGAGUUUUCUUCAUUCAAGAGAAAUUUCAAACAAAAAUCGUUCAAACAGAAUCUAUUUAGUGUUUAUUUCAUUCUCUUCAUUUCUGGUUUUCAAAGGAAGAUCGGUUUGAAGUUCAAGUUGGUUUUGAGUUUGAGGUCCGAAAUUCCAGUGUUGAUGUGGUUUAAGCUUGUCGAUCCCCGUUUCUGCUGCUGAUUCGUUCACUAUUGUUGCUGGACUUCAUCCCCAUCAUUGAUUAGUCAUUUUGGUUAUUUUCUUGCAAGCUAGAUGGUGAGGACACGACCUGUAGUUCCUGAUGACGUUACCCCCAGAGCAGAUGUCGCUAGGGGCAGAGGAAGAGGCUGACGAAGAGCACAUACCGCAUUUAAGGCGCCUAGCAGAGCAGCAGUUGAGGAGCUGCUAGUAGUUCCAGUUGGGGGGCAGGUACCAGAGGCACCUUCUAUUACACCCGUACUUCAGAAUACCUUAGCAUAGUUCCUCAGUAUGUUUGGUACAUUGGCUCAGGCGGAGUUGAUUCUGGUUGCACCAGCUACUUCACAGGCCAGGGGAGGAGCUCAAACUCCCACCGCCCACACUCUAGAGCAACGAGUUCAUGUUGAUCAGGAUCUAGGUUUCAUGGCGACACAACCUGUGAUUCCAGUUCAGCCAUGGUUAGGGCAACAACAUUUGAGGAAGAGCAACUUAGACUUGGAAGGUUCAAGAAAUAUUACCCUCCUACAUUCAGUGGUUUGGCUUUAGAGGGUGCCCAGGGUUUUCUGGAGGAGUGCCAUUGCAUUCUCCACACUGUGGGAAUUAUGUAGACGAGUGGGGUUGCUUUUACCACAUUCCAACUUAAGGGAGCUGCCUAUCAGUGGUGGAGGGUGUAUGAGUUGGGUAGCACAUCCGAUUUAGCUUCACUAACAUGAGUUCAGUUUUCAGAGAUGUUCUUGGGAGAGUUUGUACCUCAGUCCCUUCGAGAUGCAUGGCAUGCAGAGUUUGAGCAGCUGCACCAGGGCACUAUGUCAGUAUUAGCGUAUGUUAUUAGAUUCAGUGAUUUGCCUAGGCAUGCACCUACCUUGGUUUCUAUAGUUAGGGAGCGAGUCCAUAGGUUCAUUGAGGGGCUCAGUCAUGAUAUUCGGUUCAGCAUGGCUCCGGAGUUGGAGUCGGAUGUCUCAUUUCAGCAGGUGGUAGGGAUCGCUCGCCGGAUUGAGGGAAUGUGGGAUCAGGAGAGAGAGGACAGGUGAGGCCAGGAGAGAGAGGGCAGACAAGGUCAUGAGAUAGAGUUUGGGGGGGGGGGGGGGGGAUAGAAGGCCCCGUAGACUGGAGAGAUAUGCUGGUCCUUAUUUCGGAGGCAUGGUGCAGUAUGGUAGAGGUUUUGUGGUCCAGCCAAGCGAGUUUUCACUUUAGGCUUCGCACGGUGUUCCAGGUGCUCAUGGGUCUCAGAGUACCCAUGCCGCACAGUUUCCACAGCCAUGUUAGCAGAGUGGUUUCUUUGAGUGUGGCGAUACUAGCCACAUGCUGAGAGAUUGUCCCAGUAUCACGCCCCAAACCUAGAGAGGCGUGGCUGGCACGCGGUGCCGUACUGGACCGAGCGAACCAUUCUGUAACUCAUUCUUUCUGUGACCAUCGUGGGCCAACAUGGCAACCACUCGUAGUGCAUAACUGUAAGUGGGCAACAAUGUAUCAAUAAGCUAUCGUUCUUAAGAUAUCAAUACAUAUGGGGUGUCAAGGCCUCUAACAUACUGUACAAACUGAA